rnacentral:lncRNA from 1 species
GUCGCCGGCCGAUGCUCUCUGCGACGGAAAGAAAGCCGCCGGACCCACUUCCGGUGCGUUUUACAAUGAACUCCGGGCACUCGAGUCGCUCCCCGGAAACUAUAGUUCUGCUUCCACCGUUGUCCUACUUUGGAUAGCAUCAAGACAAAAAUCUCAGUCUUCGAGGAACUCACAGUGUAGCAGAAAAGACAAAGGAGGUAAACAGGAGGAGCAUGAAUAAUUCAUCUUGAUGUAAUCAUGCAAGACUCCUAAGAAGAUGUUAGGAGACCCUGUCAUCAUUCUUUUGGCCUCUAGUGUCCUUUAUCUUCAUGUUUGCUGGCUUCCUUUUACUACUAUGGAAAUACAACAUAUGCAAAAGUAGUGUUUUCACUGUUUAAAAACAUCGUCAGCAGCAUCAUCAUCAUUAACUGCACCAGGAAGCCAUGACUCCUUUCUGGACAAGGUGCACUUGCCUGUCAUCCUUCCAUCUCUUUCUUCCUCCUUGAAGUUCACAAUACCCAGUCCAGGAGCAUUGCAGAGAAUGCUAGGUGUGUCUGCAGACUUGACUUUAAAAGAAAACAAGUUCCUUCAAGUGAGUUCAUCAUGAUGGGAAUGAUAAUUUGUUUGAGAGAAUGUGUGUUCUUUGGCAAAGGAACUCCUGUUAUACCAUGACAGUAAUAAUAGCAGUAAUAAAAUCACCAAUAAUAAAUUUACUUUUGAAUUUA